rnacentral:rRNA from 1 species
GAUGAACGCUGGCGGCGUGCCUAACACAUGCAAGUCGAGCGAACGGACGAUAAGCUUGCUGCUUUGAUGUUAGCGGCGGACGGGUGAGUAACACGUGGAUAAUCUACCUAUAAUACUGGGAUAAUAUCGGGAAACCGGAUCUAAUACGAUAGAAUAUUUUGAACCGCAUGGGGCAUAGGAGAAUGACGGCGUUGCUGGCUGUAAUAGCGGGAUCCGCGCUGCAUUAGCUAGUUGGUAGGGUAACGGCUUACCAAGGCUACGAUGCAUAGCCGACCUGAGGGGGUGAUCGGCCACACUGGAACUGAGACACGGUCCAGACUCCUACGGGAGGCAGCAGUAGGGAAUCUUCCGCAAUGGGCGGAAGCCUGACGCAGCAACGCCGCGUGAGUGAUGAAGGUCUUCGGAUCGUAAAGCUCUGUUAUUGGGGAAGAACAGAUGUGUACGUAGCUGUGGACAUAUUGACGGUACCUAAUCAGAAAGCACCGGCUAACUACGUG